GGUGAACCUGCGGAAGGAUCAUUAUUGAAUUUUAAUGAAGAGU
rnacentral:rRNA from 1 species